rnacentral:rRNA from 1 species
CGGGUGAGUAACGCGUGAGGGACCUGCCUCAAAGAGGGGGACAACAGUUGGAAACGACUGCUAAUACCGCAUGAGCCCACGGCUCGGCAUCGAGCAGAGGGAAAAGGAGUGAUCCGCUUUGAGAUGGCCUCGCGUCCGAUUAGCUAGUUGGUGAGGUAACGGCCCACCAAGGCGACGAUCGGUAGCCGGACUGAGAGGUUGAACGGCCACAUUGGGACUGAGACACGGCCCAG